GACGAACGCUGGCGGCGUGCCUAAUACAUGCAAGUAGAACGCUGAAGGAGGAGCUUGCUUCUCUGGAUGAGUUGCGAACGGGUGAGUAACGCGUAGGUAACCUGCCUGGUAGCGGGGGAUAACUAUUGGAAACGAUAGCUAAUACCGCAUAAUAGCAGAUGUUGCAUGACAUUUGCUUAAAAGGUGCAAUUGCAUCACUACCAGAUGGACCUGCGUUGUAUUAGCUAGUUGGUGGGGUAACGGCCCACCAAAGCGACGAUACAUAGCCGACCUGAGAGGGUGAUCGGCCACACUGGGAAUGGGACACGGCCCAGAAUCCUACGGGAGGGAGCAGUAGGGAAACUUCGGCAAUGGACGGAAGUCUGACCGAGCAACGCCGCGGGAGUGAAGAAGGUUUUCGGAUCGUAAAGCUCUGUUGUAAGGGAAGAACGAGUGUGAGAGUGGAAAGUUCACACUGUGACGGUAUCUUACCAGAAAGGGACGGCUAACUACGUG
rnacentral:rRNA from 1 species